GAUGAACGCUAGCUACAGGCUUAACACAUGCAAGUCGAGGGACCGGCGCACGGGUGAGUAACACGUAUCCAACCUGCCCUUUACUCGGGGAUAGCCUUUCGAAAGAAAGAUUAAUACCCGAUAUAAAGGAUGGGGAUGCGUUCCGUUAGGUUGUUGGUAAGGUAACGCCUCACCAAGCCUUCGAUGGAUAGGGGUUCGGAGAGGAAGCUCCCCCUGAUGUGAACUGAGACCCGGACUCAACUCCUACGGGAGGCAGAAGGGAGGAAUAUUGGUCAAGUGGCGCUAGCCUAAACCUGCCAAGUAGCGUGAAGGAUGAUGGCGUUGGGGUCGUAAAUUUCUGAUAUAUAAGAAUCGUUAUUAUAUGAAUAAGCACCGGCUAACUCCGUGCCAGCCGCCGCGGUAAUAC
rnacentral:rRNA from 1 species